UGGAAAAAAAAGUAACACCCCAAUUCAAUUUGGUACAUACAUGAUCGAUAAUUAGCAGAAGUGGGCGUUGCUUCCGUCAGCACAAAGGAAAAGAACAACAAUAAACAUCUCUCUAACAAAAUCAACGUAAAAGGCCCAUAUUGUCUCCUCUUUAGUUUCUAGCUCAAAACAUCGCAUCCUCUACAUAAAAAGGUCAAUAUGAAUUGCUAGAAACUACUUACUCAUUUGGCUUCAACACCGCAAUAGCCCCUCUUGGUAAUGCUUAUGAGUCUCCAGGUAUAGCCAUUAGCAUAGACUUGAGAUUGCAGUGGGAGUUUUCACUAUUUCUAAGUCAUAAUUCGGAUCUCCAUUGAUUGGGCAGCAUUGUAUCAAGUAUACUAUAUAAAAGUAUUUUAUCAAGUAUGCAUUUUAGUAGUGCAUUUGUUUCAUCUAAGAACUUUUAUUUACUUGAGUGUUGAAAAAAAAUACCAAACUAUAUUUGCAGGUUCACUGACAUAACAAGCACCUUGCACCUGUGAAAUUUGUAUCCCACGGGCAGCGUUUUUCACUCGAAUCCACCUCUACUUGGAGAAACAAAAUGCGACUUUCAGUUUUUUGCAGCAUACUUGUAGAAAACAAAAGUAAUGAGCAAACAAAAGCAUUAAUAGAAUAUAACAACAAAGAAAAUUCUGAUCCUCCAAUCAACAAGUUCCUAUCUAGCCUUGACAAGAUGUCCCAUUAGUAUCAACUUUCAUUAUAUAACAACAAAGAAAAUCAACAUAAUUUUAGCAAA
rnacentral:lncRNA from 1 species